rnacentral:rRNA from 1 species
UACGGGGGGAGCAAGCGUUGUUCGGAUUUACUGGGCGUAAAGGGCGCGUAGGCGGCGUGACAAGUCACUUGUGAAAUCUCCGGGCUUAACUCGGAACGGUCAAGUGAUACUGUCGUGCUAGAGUGCGGAAGGGGCAACUGGAAUUCUUGGUGUAGCGGUGAAAUGCGUAGAUAUCGAGAGGAACACCUGCGGCGAAGGCGGGUUGCUGGGCCGACACUGACGCUGAUGCGCGAAAGCCAGGGGAGCGAACGGG